UUCCUGUUCCUGCCAAAAACCUGUGAGAAUGUGACUGUUCCUUAAAAGAAUAAUUGGUGCUGAUUGGGAGAAGUCACAUUCUGUAAAAGGAGAGUCCAGGACUCCAUUACUGAGAGAGGAGUUGGCACGGUCACAAGCGUUUGGGACCUUAAUUUUAGUCAGGUGCAAGUCCUCAACACAACCUGAUUAAUUCCCCAAUAUAACUGGAACUAAAAGAAUAAGAGGGAGAACACAGGGAGAAGACACUGGAACCGGACCGGGGCCAUUUUGGAUGUGGAAGGAAGAGAAUCAUUGAAGAAAAGUAGAAGGAAACAAAACAGCACAACUAAAUGCAGUGAAGACUCUACAGAAAAGAAGGUUAAGUACUCUUUGCAUUGCGAGAUUAUGAGAAUAAUGUUUCACAACGAACUGCAAGCAUAACUUGUGUUGUUUACUUAACAUCCCGUCUGAAGUGUUCUAGUCAUUGUUAACUUUUACAUGACUCCAGUACAUAGGGACUGUGAAUGGAAUAAGUAUAUCGUUGGACUGGAAGAUACAUUUAUUGUAUUACUAGUGCUGACACAUUGUAGUUUAUCUGCCUCCAGGGGUUGCCUUCUCUUUCCCUCUGUUCCAGAAGGAUUGCAGAGAAGAUGGACUGCUGUAUCACCUGCAGACACUCCCAUAAGCGAGGCUCUCACUUACUAGUUAAGUAUCAGUAGCCAGGAUCGACAUCACAGAGGGAGGAAGCACCCCCUGGAGGCGAGCAUGGAAUCUGGAUGCAAAGUAUUGGCAAGGAACCAAUUGGACUUUCGUGGACAAAUCAAAGUAUUAUGGUGAAGAUUGCCUUUUAUCCUUUGAGGAACGAGACACUCGCAGCCAUUGAAGGUCACAUGACACUAUAAUGAUAUUGUGGACAUAAUUAAUAUACUUCCUAACCAACGUGGGACAUUUUGAAAUCCUCUGGUGGGAUUGAACUUUACUUUUCACUUACCUGAAUACUUACCAUGUGGAGAUUAAAUUAUAGUAACCCUAUGAAAACUAUUGUUAUUUUAGGGGAUAUGUGUUCUUGUUAUUGACAUUUCUUUGUAUAAAAACUGUGUUCUGUUGACUUUGACACAAUAAAGAC